rnacentral:rRNA from 1 species
CAAUAGCAUAUAUUAAAGUUGUUGCAGUUAAAAAGCUCGUAGUUGGAUUUCUGGCAUGAUGCGCCUGGCCCGCCUCAAUUCUGAGUGUGUGUGCGAGUGCGCGUCUGCCAUCCAUUUGCAGAAUGUGCCUACUCUUCAUUGAGCCGGGUACGUGAUGUAAAUCUUUUACUUUGAAAAAAUUAUGAGUGUUUAAAGCAUGGACAUUUGCUAUUGAAUACAUUAGCAUUGGAAUAAUAAUCUAGGACUUCGGUUCUAUUUUGUUGGUUUCUAGAUCUGAAGUAAUGAUUUGAUAGGGUAUAGUUGGGGUGGCUAGUAUUAAGGGGCCAGAG